GUGGCGAACGGGUGAGUAACACGUGAGCAACCUGCCCCAAACUCUGGAAUAAGCACUGGAAACGGUGUCUAAUACUGGAUACGAGACCAACCUGCAUGGGUAUGGUUUGGAAAGUUUUUCGGUUUGGGAUGGGCUCGCGGCCUAUCAGCUUGUUGGUGAGGUAAUGGCUCACCAAGGCGACGACGGGUAGCCGGCCUGAGAGGGCGACCGGCCACACUGGGACUGAGACACGGCCCAGACUCCUACGGGAGGCAGCAGUGGGGAAUAUUGCACAAUGGGCGAAAGCCUGAUGCAGCGACGCCGCGUGAGGGAUGACGGCCUUCGGGUUGUAAACCUCUUUCAGCAGGGAAGAAGCGAAAGUGACGGUACCUGCAGAAGAAGCACCGGCUAACUACGUGCCAGCAGCCGCGGUAAUACGUAGGGUGCGAGCGUUGUCCGGAAUUAUUGGGCGUAAAGAGCUUGUAGGCGGUUUGUCGCGUCUGCUGUGAAAAUCCGGGGCUCAACCCCGGACUUGCAGUGGGUACGGGCAGACUAGAGUGUGGUAGGGGAGACUGGAAUUCCUGGUGUAGCGGUGAAAUGCGCAGAUAUCAGGAGGAACACCGAUGGCGAANGCAGGUCUCUGGGCCACUACUGACGCUGAGAAGCGAAAGCAUGGGGAGCGAACAGGAUUAGAUACCCUGGUAGUCCAUGCCGUAAACGUUGGGAACUAGGUGUGGGUCUCAUUCCACGAGAUCCGUGCCGCAGCUAACGCAUUAAGUUCCCCGCCUGGGGAGUACGGCCGCAAGGCUAAACUCAAAGGAAUUGANNGGGCCCGCACAAGCGGCGGAGCAUGCGGAUUAAUUCGAUGCAACGCGA
rnacentral:rRNA from 1 species